rnacentral:rRNA from 1 species
GAUGAACGCUGGCGGCGUGCCUAAUACAUGCAAGUCGAGCGAACGGACGAGAAUCUUGCUUUUCUGAUGUUAGCGGCGGACGGGUGAGUAACACGUGGAUAACCUACCUAUAAGACUGGGAUAACUUCGGGACACCGGCGCUAAUACCGGAUAAUAUUUUGAACCGCAUUGUUCAAAAGUGAAAGACGGUCUUGCUGUCACUUAUCGAUGGAUCCGCGCUGCAUUAGCUAGUUGGUAAGGUAACGGCUUACCAAGGCAACGAUGCAUAGCCGACCUGAGAGGGUGGUCGGCCACACUGGAACUGAGACACGGUCAAGACUCCUACGGGAGGCAGCAGUAGGGAAUCUUCCGCAAUGGGCGAAAGCAUGACGGAGCAACGCCGCGUGAGUGAUGAAGGUCUUCGGAUCGUAAAACUCUGUUAUUAGGGAAGAACAUAUGUGUAAGUAACUGUGCACAGCGUGACGGUACCUAAUCAGAAAGCCACGGCUAACUACGUG